rnacentral:rRNA from 1 species
UACGAAGGGGCGAGCGUUGUUCGGAUUUACUGGGCGUAAAGGGCGCGCAGGCGGCUCAUUUGUCAGGCGUGAAGCCCGGGCUUAACCUGGGAACUGCGUUUGAUACGGAUGGGCUAGAGUUCGGGAGAGGAGAGUGGAAUUCCCAGUGUAGCGGUGAAAUGCGUAGAUAUUGGGAGGAACACCAGUGGCGAAGGCGGCUCACUGGACCGGUACUGACGCUGAUGCGCGAAAGCGUGGGGAGCAAAGCGGG